GACGAACGCUGGCGGCGUGCUUAACACAUGCAAGUCGAACGGAAAGGCCCUGCUUUUGUGGGGUGCUCGAGUGGCGAACGGGUGAGUAACAAGUGAGUAACCUGCCCUUGACUUUGGGAUAACUUCAGGAAACUGGGGCUAAUACCGGAUAGGAGCUCCUGCUGCAUGGUGGGGGUUGGAAGGUUUCGGCGGUUGGGGAUGGACUCGCGGCUUAUCAGCUUGUUGGUGGGGUAGUGGCUUACCAAGGCUUUGACGGGUAGCCGGCCUGAGAGGGUGACCGGCCACAUUGGGACUGAGAUACGGCCCAGACUCCUACGGGAGGCAGCAGUGGGGAAUAUUGCACAAUGGGCGGAAGCCUGAUGCAGCAACGCCGCGUGCGGGAUGACGGCCUUCGGGUUGUAAACCGCUUUCGCCUGUGACGAAGCGUGAGUGACGGUAAUGGGUAAAGAAGCACCGGCUAACUACGUG
rnacentral:rRNA from 1 species